rnacentral:tRNA from 1 species
UCCAUUGCUCAGUUAGUAAAGCACAAGACUCUUAACCUUGUGGUUGUGGGUUCAAGUCCUAUGAUGGAG